CAGGGAACGAGGUCACAGAGCCAGCAGUGUCCCCAUCAGAUGAGGGAGGCUACCAAUUGGGAGCUCCCACUGGGCCACAGGCACCGUGAAGGACACUUGACCUCUGUUGUCAUGAACCUUUAAGGUUAGGGGACCUCGCCGUGGCAACCUGCUCUAGGCCCAGAAGACAAGAGGAUGGCAGAGGGGCUAGGGCAUCUACCGCCUGGUCAGGUGGUUGCGUGGAGGCUAUGAGGAGGGAAGGUGUGUCCACAGCUCCAUCCCCCUGUGCUGGGCGCUGAGCAUCCGAGGUUGACCAGGCCGUGACUCUGCUUCUAAGGGGCUCCCAGUCCUGUGGGCCAACAGAUGGGCACCGUUAACAAGCAUAAGCUUUAUGGAGACAUAAUUGACGAGGGAUCUACAUUUUUAAACCACAAGGAAAAGAAACCCAGAGCUACCAAGAAUAAUAUUUUAUUGACUUGGAACGAGUUUUGGAAUCUGUAUUUUUAACCAACUAGUGAAAACCAUUUCCUCCUCCCCGUGGACUCGAUCCAGAGGCUGCGCCCGUCUCUCCCACGUCAACAGCCCUGUGUCCUUGGCGGAGAACAGUGCUCUCAUUCUGGGCCUUUCCCUUCUUCCUCAGCCAAACCCCUGCGCCUGCACCUCCUUGCAGCUAAUAAAAAGACUGAAUUUCCUGAUGCAGGGAAAGCCCCCACCGGCUGUCACUCACAGGGAUGAGCGAAAUCUGCCGAGGCCACACUGUCCUCAUCUACAGAUUUCCUUGCCUCCUCCACUUGCAUUUUCCCAGAGCAGCUAGCUCUGUCCCAGGCCUCAGGGUGUCCCCGGGCUGAGGUGGAAUCCAGCCACGACCACCUUCCAAAGCCAAGCAGUCCUGAGUGAACCUGCAGAAAUGCAAGCGCUGGGCGCUCCCUGACGCCGAGUCAAGAAGGUCUCCCCGUGAGAAGGCAUGAAUUGAUUUGGGACAAAAGGCACUUGCUGGUCCAGGCAGGCAGGAUUUGGGGCACCCCUGUGCAGAGUGGAGGUGGGUGGGUAUAUUUCCUUGGCCCGCAGAUCCUCUUGUCUGGUGGGAUCAGCCGCUCCAGGCAAGGGCCACCUGGCCCAGCUUUGGGAGAUGUGGAGAACGAAUUUCACAGUGAUUUCCACUGGGCCGUGGCCCUGAAACAGCUGCAGGAGGGGACACAGCUGGUGCUGCCCCCACCCCUUCCAGCAGAGCUUCUCUGGAGAAAUGCCACCUUCCCCAUAGGAAGGGAGAGGGUUCUACUUGCUGUGCUUCCAGGGGCCAUGGGAAAUUGCCUCUAAGCUAAACCUCCAUUUUUAAGGGCACAAGUUGGCUUUUAUUAAAAUAAAAUCCCAUUAUCAUUUAUUCUAGUGGCUCCCAAACCUGGCUAACCGUCGGGAUCAUCCAGGAUGUUCAUUAAAAAAUAAAGAUUAAUAAAAAUAAUGAGUUUGGGAACCCAUCCUGGACCUAAUGAAUCAGGAUCUCUUUGAGUAGGGCUAAGGCUAGAAUCAGUGUGAACCAGUUUAAAUCAGACAGCUUUCUUGAUUCCAGAAUUUUCAGCCCACAGAAUAAGAGCAUGAAGAGGGAGUGAUGAGGGCUCGGAUAACAGAGAAUAUACUUAGAGCCCAUCUACGUGCCAGCCAGAGCACUGCAGACUAAUCCUACAUUAUCUUAUUUCGUCAUCAAAAAAAACCUAUGAGGUAUGUCCAACUAUUAUCCCCAUUUUGCUGUUGAGGAGAUGGGAGCUCAAAGAGGUCACCAAGGUAGGAAAAGGCAGAGCCAGAACUCAGAUCCAGAUCUUUCUCUUAACAUCUCUGCCAUGAAAGAAUAAUGGGAAACCUGGGCACCACCUUGGAAGCUAGGCCAGUAUGUGACCAAAUUGUUACAUCACCACAAGGUGAUUUCUGGACACCUCUGUCUGGUGGGCUCACUUCCCCUGUGCUCACUUCCUUCACGUUGGUUCACCAAGCACUUGUGGACACAGAGGUGGUCAGGACAUGGCCACCAUCAAGACAGUAUGGCUCAUGGAAAGGGCACUGGGCUGAAAUCAGGAGAGGGGGCUUCUGGUCCCAGCAUCACCACCCAGAGCUGUGGAAGGGGCCUUGGUGCCCUUUCGGUGCAGAGAGAGGGAUAGACCCGGUGAGGUACAGGGGCUCAUCAACUCUUAGAAAGCAGGAUCAGCAGAGCCCAGCACUAUCUCACUGGACACUGUCCCUCUCCCACUCUGGGCCCCUCCAGGACAGUGGCUUUCCCUUAUCUGCAGGAUAAAAUCAGUGCCUCACCCAGAUGAGCCUCUCUGUGGGGUGCUGAAACUUAGCUUCUGCAGACUUCCUGGAAGAGGUGGCAACUGAGUCAGAGCUAUCUGAGAGAGGAGAGUGGAAAAAUAUCGAGCAGUGGGGACAGCACGAGCCAAAGUAUGGCUGCCUGUCCUCGCACAGUAUGUGCAGGCAGACGCAGUGCUUGUGUGUUUUAGGGUGUAAAAUGCAGCACCAGCGGCCCCAGGAAGCCCUCCUGACACCUUAGGCAGCCUCAUUUGUCUUCUACAGGGCUUUGGGGAACUCCAAGGACCAGUGCCCAGCACAUUGCCUGGGAGGGGAUAUUUGCAUGGCUGUCUCUCCACCGGCUUCUC
rnacentral:lncRNA from 1 species